GACGAACGCUGGCGGUGUGCUUAACACAUGCAAGUCGAACGGUAAGGCCCUUUCGGGGGUACACGAGUGGCGAACGGGUGAGUAACACGUGAGUAACCUGCCCUCAUCUCUGGGAUAACAGUCGGAAACGGUUGCUAAUACUGGAUAUGAGCUUGCAAGGCAUCUUGUGGGUUGGAAAGAUUUUUUUGGUUGGGGAUGGACUCGCGGCCUAUCAGCUUGUUGGUGAGGUAGUGGCCCACCAAGGCUUCGACGGGUAGCCGGCCUGAGAGGGCGACCGGCCACAUUGGGACUGAGAUACGGCCCAAACUCCUACGGGAGGCAGCAGUGGGGAAUAUUGCACAAUGGACGGAAGUCUGAUGCAGCAACGCCGCGUGCGGGAUGACGGCCUUCGGGUUGUAAACCGCUUUCAAUUGUGACGAAGCUUUUUGUGACGGUAGCAGUAGAAGAAGCACCGGCUAACUACGUG
rnacentral:rRNA from 1 species